GACGAACGCUGGCGGCGUGCUUAACACAUGCAAGUCGAACGGAAAGGCCCUGCUUUUGUGGGGUGCUCGAGUGGCGAACGGGUGAGUAACACGUGAGUAACCUGCCCUUGACUUUGGGAUAACUUCAGGAAACUGGGGCUAAUACCGGAUAGGAGCUCCUGCUGCAUGGUGGGGGUUGGAAAGUUUCGGCGGUUGGGGAUGGACUCGCGGCUUAUCAGCUUGUUGGUGGGGUAGUGGCUUACCAAGGCUUUGACGGGUAGCCGGCCUGAGAGGGUGACCGGCCACAUUGGGACUGGGAUACGGCCCAGACUCCUACGGGAGGCAGCAGUGGGGAAUAUUGCACAAUGGGCGGAAGCCUGAUGCAGCAACGCCGCGUGCGGGAUGACGGCCUUCGGGUUGUAAACCGCUUUCGCCUGUGGCGAAGCGUGAGUGACGGUAAUGGGUAAAGAAGCACCGGCUAACUACGU
rnacentral:rRNA from 1 species